rnacentral:rRNA from 1 species
UAGAGUUUGAUCAUGGCUCAGAACGAACGCUGGCGGCAGGCUUAACACAUGCAAGUCGAGCGCCCCGCAAGGGGAGCGGCAGACGGGUGAGUAACGCGUGGGAAUCUACCCAUCCCUACGGAAUAACGCAUGGAAACGUGUGCUAAUACCGUAUACGCCCUUAGGGGGAAAGAUUUAUCGGGGAUGGAUGAGCCCGCGUUGGAUUAGCUAGUUGGUGGGGUAAAGGCCUACCAAGGCGACGAUCCAUAGCUGGUCUGAGAGGAUGAUCAGCCACAUUGGGACUGAGACACGGCCCAAACUCCUACGGGAGGCAGCAGUGGGGAAUAUUGGACAAUGGGCGCAAGCCUGAUCCAGCCAUGCCGCGUGAGUGAUGAAGGCCUUAGGGUUGUAAAGCUCUUUCACCGAUGAAGAUAAUGACGGUAGUCGGAGAAGAAGCCCCGGCUAACUUCGUGCCAGCAGCCGCGGUAAUACGAAGGGGGCUAGCGUUGUUCGGAAUUACUGGGCGUAAAGCGCAUGUAGGCGGAUAUUU